CCGGCCGACCUCACGGUCGGAAAGGAAGGAGGAGAAGGCACAUCUCCCUGGUUCAGCUCUCUGGGGUCCCCGACACCAUCUCUCAGCGGCCAUCUCGUCCAUUUGCACCAAAGCUGAGCUCAGAGGAGGACACCUGCCAUGAUCCACUCCUGUGUCUGCCACCUCCCUGCCCACUCCUGCAGGAAGCUCCCUCUCGGCCUCUGUCCAUCAUCGGCGUCUGUCCAGCGCGGGUUGUCUGCCGCACCGCACUGCAAAGCCACAAGUGCCAAAUGCCCCUGUGAGCCGCCCACCUGUACCUCAUCUUCCUGGCCUGAGCAGCAUCUCCUAAAAAAGCAAGAAAAUAACAGGACAGCUGUAUCCCAGAGGCUCGGCACCAGCAACUCCCCAGGGCAGUGGGAAACACUGUCUACCUGGUUUUGAAACAAAAACACCAGAUUCCCUCUGCCUGAAAAUAACAAGACACACUCGCCUCUCAUCCCAUUUUCACCAAUCAGUUGAGGAACUGUCUGGAUUUCACCAUUGCAGAGUGUGUAUCUCUUCUUGGCCCAGUACAUUUCCUAGAGACUUUAUUCACUUCCUGACCAAGGUGGUAGGAGGGUGGACACAGGAAUACAAAGACCAUGUGAAUUAAAGAUUAAAUGCCAGAUCUUUUUUGGAAAUGCCUUUUAAGGCAUGUUGAGAGCCACAAAUCACACUUCUUUACAAUUCGAAUGUAUAUGGAAAACAUCUCAUGCUAGACAUAAAUACGAUAUGGCUCUAGCUUUGGAAAAAGAAGCUUCAGCUGUUCAAGUCACGUGUGGCCAGAUGCAGAGCGCAAGGAAUGCAGAGCAGACGGUUGCAACUGCUGGCUUUUACCCGUCCAUCUAAAAUACCCUCCACACGCUUUAGUGGACACUGGAAAUGGCAAACAGAAACGAUGCACUGAUAGCCCCUAUGAAUGCAUCUUUCCUUACAGCUUUUGAAAUCAUUCCCCUAAAAUAUUCUUCACUGUUAGAAAAUUAAUUCUAAAAUAAAGAUGCUUUUUACAGAACAGAAGGAGAUAUUCUAAAGU